GUGCCUGCAUUGGCAGCACACAGAGUAAAAUUGGAACAAUACCAAGAAGAUUAGCAAGGCCCCUGUGCAAGGAUAACAUGCAAAUUCAUGAAGUGAUCCCCAUUUUU